UACGUAGGGUGCGAGCGUUAAUCGGAAUUACUGGGCGUAAAGCGUGCGCAGGCGGUUCGUGAUGUCUGGUGUGAAAGCCCCCGGGCUUAACCUGGGAAUUGCAUUGGAAACUAGCGGGCUGAAGUGUGGCAGAGGGGGGUGGAAUUCCACGUGUAGCAGUGAAAUGCGUAGAGAUGUGGAGGAACACCGAUGGCGAACGGCAGCCCCCUGGGCUAACACUGGCGCUCAUGCACGAAAGCGUGGGGAGCAAACAGG
rnacentral:rRNA from 1 species